AUAUAUCAACCCUCUUCAGCUUUUUUGCAUGUGGAGUUGUUGGAUGUGGGGGUAUUUUUUGCUGAACUCUAGAAUUUGAGUUCAGCUCCCCUUAAAUACAUCAGCGAAACAAUUUGUUUACCGCUCAUUGGUGUGAUAACUAUCUACGCUAUUGACGGCAAAGCAUGUUUAGCUUCUAACAGUCUAUUAACUUGGACAAUCUUUAUUA
rnacentral:misc_RNA from 1 species